AAAUAUUUAUAUCAGAGUUGACAAACUUUGUCUGAAGGUCCUGAGAGUAAAUAAAUAUUCUAGGUUUUCUUUUUUUUUGAGACGGAGUCUCGCUCUGUCACCCAGGCUGGAGUACAGUGGCGCAAUCUCAGCUCACUGCAAGCUCCGCCUCCCAGGUUCACGCCAUUCUUCUGCUUCAGCCUCUCAAGCAGCUGGGACUACAGGCGUCUGCCACCACGCCCGGCCAAUAUUCUAGGUUUUGCAGGCCAUAUAUGGUAACUGUUGCAUAUUCUUAUUUUUCUAAGCAGCUUUUUAAAGAUGUUAAAAUCAUUCUUAGCUCAAAGGCCUUGAUUUGGUCCAUAGACCAUAAUUUCCCAACACCUGACUUGUAUUUAUCAACAUAUUUACCCCUCCAGUGUUAUUUAUUUCUGCAUUUCCAAGUUUCUAAGAUCAUUUCAUACUGCCUGAAAAAUUAUUUCUUUUAGCAUAAGAAUGCUACCGUAAAUUUCCUCUAUUUUUAUUCUGAAACAUCUUUAUUUCUGAAGGAUAUUUUAGCUCAGUAUGAAAAGAGGUUAGCAGUUUUUCACAGUGUACAUAUGAGCCCCCCGUCCCCCACUGCAAUAGUUUUUCUUAAAGGGACCUGCCUCUCCCUUAGUUGAGAAUAUUUAAGUGAACUUGAGAAUAUUUAAGUGAACUGGCUUCAACCAUAUGUCAAGUAGUAUGUUUGUGGGCUAUCAAUUUAUUUCUAGGAACCCUAUGAUCAUUUAGCCAUUGCCACCUAUAUGGUUAAAAUUCUCAUUAACAGUGCAUCCCUUGGACUCUUGUGCAGAUUUUACCCAACCCCUCCCAUGCCAAGAUCCUAUGAUCUCUACUGAAAUUGGGAUCUUACUUUCAUUAUAGAAGUUCUGCAUCAUCUACAGUCUAGAGAGGGUGGGUACCACAGAGUUGUCCAAGGAUGGUGGUAAACUCCUCACCAAUGUAUUUCUUAAUACCCUGACGGGAAUGUCUUUUGGCCUUUCUCUGGCUAAGGGAAAAAAUGAACAUAAUAAUUCAUUGAUAGUUACAUCUCCCUCUAAAGCAGAGGUGUCCAAUCUUUUGGCUUCCCUGGGCUACACCAGAAGAAGAAUUUUCUUGAGCCACAAUAACUGAUAGCUAUCAUUAGUGUUCACGUAUUUUAUAUGUGGCCCAAGACAAUUCUUCCAAUGUGGCCCAGGGAUGCCAAAAGAUUGGACACUGGAUUCCAUCCAGUAUGACUUUUCAGAUAUCUAAGAAGAUUUUGCUACACUUAUUACAAUGGUAGUUUUCCCACAGUGUAAUUCUCUGAUAUAGGUUUGAAAUAUUGCAGAAAUUCACUCUACAUUCAUUUAUACAGUUGCUUUUUCUCCUACAAGAGUAUUAAAAUUUAAGUAUUGCAUUGUAAUUGAAGGCAUUCCCAAAUCACUGUGUUUGUAUCACUUUGCUUAAAUAUGAAUUUUCUGAUCUCCAAAGUGCAUCAUCUUUGUAAAGCUCAUCCCUUGUCCAUGCUUUCUGUCCUGGUUGACAGAUGCGGAAUGAGGGCUAAUCUCUGGCUUUCUCCAAUCUAUUGGAUAUGUAUUCUUUCCUGGUAGGAAUUUACACACGUAAAGUAAGGGACUCCUACCAAAUGAAGUCUUCUCAACAUUACCAGAUGGAAGAAUCUUCUCAACAAUAUUGAUUUCACCUUGUUAUUGCAAAAAAAUAAAAGAGUGGUUAUUAAUGGCUUUUCCACAUAUUCCUGGGUUUUUUUUUCUCCAGGGUGGUGAAUAAAGUGUGGGCCAUAUUACUUCACAGUCAUCACUUUCACAUAAGGCUUCUUUCCAAGAGUUCUCUGAAGUAAGGCAUUAUACUUCUUUU
rnacentral:lncRNA from 1 species